AGAACAAAAUAAAAACUGGGAAGUGGCGUAGGUUUGGUUUAAUUAGUUCUGGAAAAAAAAGGAUCCCAAUAUAAACACGAUCCUAAUUCGUGAAAUUAAGCAUUAAAUAAUAACUAAACCUAUUUUAAUUAUAAAAGAGGGCAUAGGGACACCUUUAGGAGGAUGAUAUAAAACCAAGAAAAACCUCAGAGCUUGAUUUAGAAGGUUCUCUGAAGACAAAUUUGUAAAACUCCUCGGCAAUUAUGUACGCAGUUCAAGCCACCACGUAUCUCAUUGAGCCUCCUCUUCAACUGCCAUCGAUGUUUGUUCGAUCCAGACCCUAUGACCCUCAAGCACUUUACCGGCUUCAGCAAGGACACGCGUAGUGUUGUUCGAAGAUAUGAGGACAUGCAAGAAGGAAAUAACAUCAAAGGUCUCCUUUUUCUUUCUGAUAUUUUCAAUUAUUGGGCUAAUGAAGGAUCUAUCUGCAGAUGUACUGUUGAUAUUUAAAAUAACUGUGAGAGCAUCUCCUUUUACAUGGAUCUUUUGAAAACCCAGUUCCUCCGAGAGAGAAAGCCUGUUCGCAAGCUUUUGCUUCAGCCAUCUCAGCAUCCAGGAUAAAGUCAUUAUGGGGGAGGCGACCAUACUUUGGUGGCUGGGGUUGGAGAUUGAGUAGGGGAAACCUUUGAAGCAUCGAGUUCUUGUAUUGAGUGAUAGGCGACGUUGUUGAACCGAGAGCAAUUCGAAUAAAGUAAGCUAGCCAACGGAGCAAGUUUUGUUCAGCAGGAAUAAACGAGAGGUUGAUGCUAAGAUCAUGGAAAACCUUGUGAACAAAGUUGCAUUCUUGAGUGAGAUGUAAGGUUUAGAGACCAAAUGGAGCCAAAAUAAGUAGAUAACCAACCAUUUUGGAUGAGGUUUGGAUUUCUUGAUUGCUCGUCAGUGGAAUUGAUCAACCAAUGAUAGUUACUUUUGACAGAAUAAAUUCUCGAGCGAUCUCCUCUCCAAAUGUGCAUGUCUUUGAUGUCAACAGAAGGGAGUGGUAAGCAGAGAAUCUGAUGUGCUUGUUGUGAAUUCAAAAGAGAGAGGACACUGAAUUGCUU